AUCAAGCGCAGUAAGGGCAUGCGAAGGAUGCCUAGGUAUCGAGAAGCGACGAAAGACGCGUUAGGCUGCGAAAAGCCUCGGGGAGCUGCCAAAUGAGCUUUGAUCCGGGGAUGUCUGAAUGGGGCAACCCACUCCGUCAGGAGUACGGGA
rnacentral:rRNA from 1 species